CUUGCCUGAGCCUAUCGGGCCCAGCGCGGCGUGCGGGAGCCGAGCGAGCCGGAGCAACUAUUAUCCGCUUCUCUCCGAGGGCUCUGCGCACUCGCAAAACGCGGCCUGGACUCGGCCCCCGGCGCCGCCGCCGAGCCCGGCCUGACGGGAGCGGGGGACCCCGGCCGCCGGCGCUCUCGGCCUGGAGCUGCUCAGUCCCUCAUGCCUCCGGUCUCCUUGCCAACCCGCGUUCCUGUGUUUGUUUUCACGUCUAAAGGGAGCGCUGCGAGGGUGGAAAACGAGUCUGACGAGCAGACAAAAGAGGGAGAAGGGGCUGGGAAGCAAAGUUGCGCGCUGGGCCUCAGAGGUGGCGAGGAGGCCGGUGGGGAAGGGGACCGUCCAGGCAGGCCAGCCGAGGCAAAGCCCCGUCUCUCUCUCGAGAGUUAUGUAAUUUUUUCAGAACCUUGGCCUCUCCGCCUCGAUUCCCGGCCAUCGGCGUGAUUCCCACAACUUCAUCCAACUGAGAAAUGAGGAAAGACCAAGUGAAGGUUAAACCGCAAAGACGGCUGUGCCGGGUACACAGCAGGCGCUCAAUAAUUGCUUAUGAUUCACCACUUCCAAUCCCCGAGAUGAUGUUUAAGCAACUCUUUUUAAAGGCACCUUAAGUAGCCGUGCCUAAAAGAGAAAAUGAGUCACCAAGUUCAGCUCUGGCCUGUUGUUAGAAAUUUUUUUUUUCAUGUCAAAAUCAUGAAGCUUGAAAAAAGAAAAAAAAAAUAUGUGAGUGAAAGAAGAAAGAAAUUAAGUAUGUGAGUGAAAUCUCAUUUAACUUCGAGUCAACUCAAAGAGUGGAAGCAAGAGGCAAUAAAGUAGAGGCCCCCAGCACCAGGAAAUCAACCUGCUCUAAAGGGCACCACAUGCCCGGUUCUCCUCCCCAGUGACAGAUGCCACACCCUAAAAGCAGACAGAAGGCACCACAGCACAAAGCCUGCAGGACUUGGUUAGGUCUUUGUAGCCAUGGAGAACGCUAAAGUGUCUUCUAAAACACAUCUUUGCUGAAGAUAAAUCAUGGAUUCCUCUAUUUAUUCAACUUUCCCAGCACACCUUGGGAAAAUGUAAUGAAAGCCUCUUCAGUUCCAUGUAAAGCCAGCACUUGAUAAAGAAGAUGGCAGUUGUCAGGGGUCUGGUAUAAAAUAAGGAAACGAGCUCACGUCUCACAGGAGUGUGGUUUCAGCCCUGGCUUAUUCCGUUUGCCCGGCCAUCCUACAUGGCAGUUCAGCCUUGCCUCUGUUGGUGCGACAAAGUGAUAGAAAUCGCUGCAGUGGGUUUUUCUUAAUGAGUUCCUUAAUUUUUCACCUCUCGUGCCUAAAUUUCAAACCGUAAUGACAACUGUGUUCUUGCUGUCACCACAAGGAAGCCUUAGAGGUGGAAAGCUGCUGGUGGCCUUGGCCGUGCCAUGGCCUCAGCCAGCCUCCCACCCACAGCCUUUCGUGUGUAGCCAGAGGAUUACCCAUUAUUUUGUUAAACAUGCCUUUCUAGUUACAAAAGGUUUUCUUUCUCCCCCCUAACUAUAUGGAAAUAUUAAUAUUCAAAUACUGCUCCUUUUGAAUAAGUUUUAGGGCACUGAAUAAAAGGCCCUUCAACUUACCCACUGAAAGAAAAGUGAGCCAGAUGGUAGUUUAAGAAUUCCACAGCUCUGUUCUUUUUGCCUCUCCAAGGCCCAUCGCACUGUUUGCUCGCAGAUUAGCCCUUUUUACUGUUCUCCUUAUUUACUCGGUGACUGAGGCGAUCACGAUUCACUGCCCAUCAUAUUUCUCAGUAUUCUUUCCGUAAUUUGGAAGCAAUUUGGAAUAAAGCCCUGUCAAGGUUUUACAAAUAAGAACUAUUAAAGAAUAAGGCUUUAGAUACUUGCUUUCCUUUUAGAUUUAUGAGAGAUGCGAUGAAUAGCGCUAAUGGGAUUUCCCUACUGAUCUUGGUCAGGGACUUUAAAGAGCACUAAACAAUUGUCCUAUUCACGUCUCCGAUUUAGACGUCAGCACUGAAUAACUCUGAGUCGGCGCAGGAUACUGGCUAUAUGGCUAUACGGCCACUGGAUUGGAAACAGAUAUGCAAAUUAUCUCUGGCCUGUGCGUUCAGAAUGCUAAACAAUUAUGUCUAGUCUGAUGGGGGUACUGAGAGGGACAAACAGCAAUAGGCAACAAAUAAUUUAAAGCGAUCUGGCCAGCAGCAGCAGCAGCAUUCUAUUUGUCGAGAUUAAAGCAGGCACAAUAAACAGGAUAAAUUACACUUGAUCAUUCAGCAGACUUGCUUCGAAUCUACUUGAUGCCAUCGCAUCCACAAAAAGAAAAACAUGUUACCUUGGCCCAGUUCUGAAUGAGGAUCAACUAGGAACAUUUGAACCAAAACACACUGAAUUGGGCCCUUUAACGUUCCAGAGGACCAGUGAAGAAUUGAGGUCAAAUUUUCUCACCCAAGGGCACCUGACGCCGUUGUUCAUUAUUGGAAGCCCCUACCAGGCAUCUACUCCUCCAUCUCCACAGCUCUGACAACACUGAAGACCGCCAGAUCAUCAGUAGGCCAGUACAGUUUGUCUCCAAGGGCCCUGGGAACACAGUGGCAGCGGUGAACCAUGGGGAGGAACUUCUCAGCGCAUUAUAAUGCACUGCACUUUGUCAGCUGUCUGCAUUCUGAUCCACCUGGAAUAAAUACUUUUAUUACA